AAAGUACUCCCUCCAUCCCAAAAUUCUUGUCUUAGAUUUGUCUAGAUACGGAUGUAUCUAGUUUGUCUAGAUACGGAUGUAUCAAGUCAAAUUUUAGUAUUAGAUACAUCCGUAUCUAGACAAAUCUAAGACAAGAAAUUUGGGACAGAGGGAGUAGUUG
rfam:Triticum aestivum genome assembly, contig: Triticum_aestivum_CS42_TGACv1_scaffold_530977_6DL